rnacentral:rRNA from 1 species
AGUGAACGCUGGCGGUAGGCCUAACACAUGCAAGUCGAACGGCAGCACAGUAAGAGCUUGCUCUUACGGGUGGCGAGUGGCGGACGGGUGAGGAAUACAUCGGAAUCUACUUUUUCGUGGGGGAUAACGUAGGGAAACUUACGCUAAUACCGCAUACGACCUACGGGUGGAAGCAGGGGAUCUUCGGACCUUGCGCGAUUGAAUGAGCCGAUGUCGGAUUAGCUAGUUGGCGGGGUAAAGACCCACCAAGGCGACGAUCCGUAGCUGGUCUGAGAGGAUGAUCGGCCACACUGGAACUGAGACACGGUCCAGACUACUACGGGAGGCAGCAGUGGCGAAUAUUGGACAAUGGGGGCAAGCCUGAUCCAGCCAUACCGCGUGGGUGAAGAAGGCCUUCGGGUUGUAAAGCCCUUUUGUUGGGAAAGAAAAGCAGCAGGUUAAUACCCCGCUGUUCUGACGGUACCCAAAGAAUAAGCACCGGCUAACUUCGUG